CAUGAUAAAACCAAACCUAUCGUGAGAUAGGGACGGAAAGCCACGGAUCUUAAUGAGAUAGCCGGGUUGCCUUGA
rfam:Desulfococcus multivorans DSM 2059 ctg59, whole genome shotgun sequence.